rnacentral:rRNA from 1 species
UAUUGGUCAAUGGGCGGGAGCCUGAACCAGCCAAGUCGCGUGAGGGAUUAAGGCCCUACGGGUCGUAAAACUUUUUUGCCGGGGAGCAGGGCGGCGGACGUGUCCGCCGUUUGCGCGUACCCGGAGAAAAAGCACCGGCUAACUCCGUGCCAGCAGCCGCGGUAAUACGGAGGAUGCGAGCGUUAUCCGGAAUUAUUGGGUUUAAAGGGUGCGUAGACGGGCUUUUAAGUCAGCGGUAAAAAUUCGGGGCUCAACCCCGUCCGGCCGUUGAAACUGGGGGCCUUGAGUGGGCGAGAAGAAGGCGGAAUGCGUGGUGUAGCGGUGAAAUGCAUAGAUAUCACGCAGAACUCCGAUUGCGAAGGCAGCAUACCGGCGCCCUACUGACGCUGAGGCACGAAAGCGUGGGGAUCGAACAGG